UCGAGCACGCGCGUGUGGCAUAUCAAUAAGCGGAGGAAAAGAAACUAACAAGGAUUCCCUAGUAACGGCGAGUGAAGCGGGAAGAGCUCAAAUUUGAAAUCUUCAAGGCUUUACCUUGACGAAUUGUAGUUUAAAGAAGUGUUUUCUGUUAGAGGAGUAGGUAAAAGUUCUUUGGAAUAGGACAUCAUAGAGGGUGAGAAUCCCGUAUUUGACCAGUUACUUUCCAAGCUGUGUGAUACACUUUCAAAGAGUCGGAUUGUUUGGGAAUGCAGUCCAAAAUGGGUGGUAAAUUUCAUCUAAAGCUAAAUACUGGCGAGAGACCGAUAGCGAACAAGUACCGUGAGGGAAAGAUGAAGAGAACUUUGAAAAGAGAGUUAAACAGUACGUGAAAUUGUCAAAAGGGAAGCGUUUGACACCAGUGUUGUUUUCUCGAAAAUCAAUUAAAAAUGGUGGGAUGUUGUGUUGUAUUGACUUUAUCAGCUUUCUGCACUUUUUUCCUAUCUUUUUUAAUGCACUUUUCGUUUAACAAGUCAACAUCAAUUUCUUUUGUUGUAAAAGAGUCAUUGGAAGGUGGCUUUCUUUUCGGAGAAAGUGUUUAUAGCCUUUGGCUUCUGCAAUCGGAGAGAUUGAGGUCUGCAGCGUAGAUCCUUCGGGGUUAGAUGCAUUUGUGCUAAGUUAUAGCCUUUCAUAGACAACUUGUUGACUAUGAUCAGUCAUGUAGCUUACUCGCUUAUGCUAUUUUACCUACGCUUAGGAUGUUGAGUCAUCACACAUCUCU
rnacentral:rRNA from 1 species